rnacentral:rRNA from 1 species
GAUGAACGCUGGCGGCGUGCCUAAUACAUGCAAGUCGAGCGAACAGACGAGGAGCUUGCUCCUCUGACGUUAGCGGCGGACGGGUGAGUAACACGUGGAUAACCUACCUAUAAGACUGGGAUAACUUCGGGAAACCGGAGCUAAUACCGGAUAAUAUAUUUAACCGCAUGGUUCAAUAGUGAAAGACGGUUUUGCUGUCACUUAUAGAUGGAUCCGCGCCGCAUUAGCUAGUUGGCAAGGUAACGGCUUACCAAGGCAACGAUGCGUAGCCGACCUGAGAGGGUGAUCGGCCACACUGGAACUGAGACACGGUCCAGACUCCUACGGGAGGCAGCAGUAGGGAAUCUUCCGCAAUGGGCGAAAGCUUGACGGAGCAACGCCGCGUGAGUGAUGAAGGUCUUCGGAUCGUAAAACUCUGUUAUUAGGGAAGAACAAAUGUGUAAGUAACUAUGCACGUCUUGACGGUACCUAAUCAGAAAGCCACGGCUAACUACGUG